rnacentral:sRNA from 1 species
UUUUGGAAUUUUCGUAAUUUUCUAGGAUUUUCUGGGAUUUUUCGGAAAAAUUUCAAA